AAAGAGGGUGACGACGUGGAACUUGGAAUGGCAAGAAAACUGAUAACGAUUUCUAUAAAAGGAUAGUGGAUGCUUAUGAAGUUAAAAAUCAAGAAUUGACGUCAGAGAAUGCUGAUUUAAAGACAUUGACCAGUAAAUGCAGGUUUGCAACAAUUUUGUUAUUGUCUGUGUUUUAAGUUUACUAAAUUUUUAUCAAAUAAAUUUUGGAAGGGGUGGUGAGCAUGCAAUAAAACAAGUUUGUAGAAUGCAUCUAUUCCGUCUUAUUAAUUUUGUGAUAUUGAGGUUUUUUGCCAUUUUUUUAUUGAAUUAUUUUUGUGAAUUUUAA